GCACUGAUGCCACGAUCUAUGCUCGUGAGUCACUGAACUUCUCCAUUGUUUCUGAUAUUCAUUAGCUUUCUGAGCUGUGGGAACCUCCAGUAAGGCUGCCUGUCUUUCAAACGCGUUUUCGACAUCAGCAGGAAGCAAGAAGUGUGCUGUAGUACAAAUUCGAAAUUACAGAAACAAUUCUGAAAAGUAUUAACUACAGGGAAUUUGAAAACUGGAAUUCAUGUUACAAAAUUUGAGGACGGUGAUUGUCGUAGUGGCUACUGGCAGUGAACAACUCCUGAAUGGUUGGUUCUCCAAGAGAUGUCGUCUGUAAGAAAUUUCACCAUGCUUAUGGCCGUCCAAUGAAUUGGCUGGUAAUCUUGCCCUAUCUUUUGAUCACUGAAGAGAAUGGCUGUCAUUGAAGGCCUCUUUCUCUGGAGAUACCACAUAAUAUGCUUUGAAACAUUUCAGAUAAAACUGGGAGCCCGAGUCUGUGAUUGAAGGUCCAUGUGCAUGGGUAUCAAUCGUCAGCUGAGAUGCUCUGGGAGGUGGUGGGAGAGUAUGGGUGGGUAGAGAGACUUUCACAACCGUAACAAGUCACUGACGAGCAGAAUUUGGUGAAGCGCAAUAAAUAGGGAGGACAAUAGUUUCUACGUAGAGAUUCAAAGUCGAAAACUUCUCUCUCUCUCUCUCUCUCUCUCUCUCUCUCUCUGUGCAUGUCUAUGCGCUUACUUAAAUAUUUGGUAAAGGAGCUGUGAAGAUCUAGCAACUUAAUUACAGUGCUGGUGCCUGUGUAUUGCGCUGAGAAUUUGGAUUAUGCAGUCCUAGAUCUGUUGUACCAACUCCAGCUUACAUGAAGCCUAUGUAUUGUUCAUUGUUCCUUCCACAGGGGUAAGUGAGUAAGAGAGCUAGUGCAUACCCACCAAAUUUGCUUCAAACCGCUUUGCUGGGUUCUCGGAAUCAUAAGAUUCUCAAACUGCAGGGAGAUGUUUUUGCAUGUAAAUCUAUUAUUGCUGCAAUGGGUGUACCAACAUUUAACGUU